GUCACGUGUGCAAGUGGACUGCACAAAUAUCAGUGGCAAACGUGGGACUGUGUGUUUGGAGACACCUCUAGCAGUGGGUCAAAGCAGGAGGGAAGGUGGCUACAGCUGGAAUCUCCUAGACUCUGCAGGAAUCUAAAGGAAAGAAACAUGGGAUAUGAGGAUAAAGAUGUCCUAAGGCUGUUAAAUGGGGAGCAGACAGUAGCUACCUGCCUGGCUUUGUGAGGAAAUGCACAAUAAACAGGAUCCAGACACCAAGGUGUGAAAGGUAGAUUAUCUUUUAUACAAAUAAGGAAAUGCUAGACCUUCUAGCAAAAAAAUAAACAUGGGAAAGAUAAGGACUGAAGAAACUUGGCUACACUUGGCCUGACACCAUGUGUUGUACACAGCAGUGCUGUGGUGUUUGCAUCCCUCCACUGUGCACCAACAAACAGGACUGAUGUCAGCACCUCUCAUCCAGAAAUGCUGUACAGGCAGUGCUCUCUCUCUCCAGAACAUGAGAAAUCCAUCAAGUUUGCUUUCCCCUGUGUUUUAAUCUAAAUUGAUGCGUGGGAGAAUGGGUAAGAAAAAGCCUUGGCGAUAUCUUGCUGUGUUUUAUCACACACAUUUGGACUGUUGGCAUCGGGGUUUUUGGAGCUGCUCCAUUUUUCUUCCUCUCCUUCUGUGUUGCUCAAUCUUCUGGUCAGAGCUGGGAGAACAAAUAGCAUAGUUUAUAAUCUCUGAAGCAUGGGUAAAACAUGUUAUCUUAAACAGCAGGCAAGCUAUAAAAAUAGCUGCAAACAGUAACUAUAAAUAUAUAAUAACAUAGAAAUAUUUGGGGAAGAAAAAAGCUAAAAAAUGCCAUUCAUUUUCUCAGUUCUGCCCAGCUCUGUGUGGAGCCAUAUCCAUGCUCUUUGGAGGAUAACUGUGUUGGGGCCCAUGUUUUCUCUCUUUUUGUGGCUCUGGAGAGCCUCCACAGCCUGGAUUCUCUCCUUAGUUAAUGGUUAAUGGAAUUUUAGCUGAGGUGAUAAAUCCUGCUUCCUGCUUCAACCUACACAGCCCCUUCCCUCCUCCUCCCAAAAGAGGGUUAACGGGGGAUUUGCAUUUCUCCACCUCCUCCCGUGCCUCCACACUGCUGCCCUUUGCAUCCCCAUUGGGGAUUGCUCCAGAUCUGAACAAAGGGAAGGG